rnacentral:rRNA from 1 species
UGGGGAAUUUUGGACAAUGGGCGCAAGCCUGAUCCAGCAAUGCCGCGUGCAGGAUGAAGGCCUUCGGGUCGUAAACUGCUUUUGUACGGAGCGAAAAGGUCUGCCCUAAUACGGUGGGCUCAUGACGGUACCGUAAGAAUAAGCACCGGCUAACUACGUGCCAGCAGCCGCGGUAAUACGUAGGGUGCAAGCGUUAAUCGGAAUUACUGGGCGUAAAGCGUGCGCAGGCGGUUAUGCAAGACAGAGGUGAAAUCCCCGGGCUCAACCUGGGAACUGCAUUCGUGACUGUAUAGCUAGAGUACGGCAGAGGGGGAUGGAAUUCCGCGUGUAGCAGUGAAAUGCGUAGAUAUGCGGAGGAACACCGAUGGCGAAGGCAAUCCCCUGGGCCUGUACUGACGCUCAUGCACGAAAGCGUGGGGAGCAAACA